CUUGUUAUUCUUGCAAAGGAUUAUUGCAUCUGAACCAGGAAGCUGCAUCCUGAUUCUUUUUCAUGCAUAAGAAUAAAGGGGGGCCCUUCAGAAUACCAGUGUGUGCUUCUCUAUGAGUAUGUGUUUUACCCACAAUGAAUUGAGCAGAACAGAAGGUGAGAGGCAGCAGGGUGCCAAAUUCUGGGUUCACACAGGGUGCUGCCAAAAUUUGAAAGAUCAAAGUCUGCCCAUGGGUCCAAGGAAGGGCUUCUUCCGGAGCAGCCUGUGAUUGCCUGCCUCCUUUACAGCAGGUGGGCCUGUGCCUUCCCAAAA